rnacentral:rRNA from 1 species
AUACGGAGGGUGCGAGCGUUAAUCGGAAUUACUGGGCGUAAAGGGCGCGUAGGUGGUUUGGUAAGUCAGAUGUGAAAUCCCUGGGCUUAACCUGGGAAUUGCAUUUGAUACUGCCAGACUAGAGUGUGGUAGAGGUAAGCGGAAUUCCCGGUGUAGCGGUGAAAUGCGUAGAUAUCGGGAAGAACAUCAGUGGCGAAGGCGGCUUACUGGAUCAACACUGACACUGAGGCGCGAAAGCGUGGGUAGCAAACAGGAUUAGAAACCCCAGUAGUCC